GAAAAGACUGUGAAGAGAAAUAGUAAAUAGUCGGAUUUCUACAGAGAGCUGGUGGCAGGUGCAAACCGGUGAAGUUGGCUAUUGAAUCCAUCUCGGAGUUGUAGGUUGAAAGCUUUUGUAGGCCUAAACGGGUGCGACCGUUAUAUCGCAACAAAGAGGAUUGAAGGAAUUCAAUCAAUUUGGGUGGCAACGCGGGAACAUAACUCCCGUCCCUUUU
rnacentral:ncRNA from 1 species